GGCUCGUGAAGAAGAAGAAAAAGUUCUAACACUCCAGUCGCUGUUCAGUCAUGAGUGAACCUCAAUGGAUGUCGUUUCUUUGGCUCACAUAAUCCCGCUUCCCGUUGCACCUUCUGGAAGAAAGCCUAACUCUGACCACGACGAAGGCAACCACUCGGGAAGUUUUCGUUGAUACUACGACACACCACGGCGACUGCGACCACGGCGCCAAUUGACUACUACUACGACUACCACUACCACGACUACCACAACAACGACUACUACUACCACCACCUUGAAACCACAGGAAUUAAGCCAGACGCAAGUGUACCGAACAACUCUCAAUCGUAAUAUAACGGACCCAUACGCAUGCUGGACUACAGGACCGUCACCCUGGGAUAGACCUGGCAUGCCGUUAUGCAGUCGUCAUUUGUGUGCCAAAAUGGACUAUAUCAUAGGGUAGUAACCGAAAAUCAGGGGCACCUUGAAACCGACACCACCCGACUCGACCAAGGGGGCCGUACGUUUGACAACACUUUCACAGUAGCGUACGACUCGGAUUGCUCUAUGUCGAAAACGGUUAGAGCUCAUCUUCGACGCAUGAGACAGCACUGCGCUUAUUCACCCUCCCACACUGGGGGUGAUGGAAAGACGAGUCUCCGAAGAUGCGGACGAUUUAUUGAACGUUUUUUUUUUCUCUUUUUUCUGAAAACUGUUCUGGUAUCAGGUGACCGAAGGGACCAGAUGCUCUCAUUCGGACAACUUUGUAGCUUUGCUUUGCUUUCGAGUUUGCUAGUGCCCUCCUAAGGAGUGCCCAUCAGCAUAUAUUAUAUUGCAAUAGAUUUGAUCUAGGAAAAAAGUGAUAUACAUAUUUCUUUAAAAAUAUGUUAGCUGCGGCACCCCGUAUUCAGUGUGUAUCAGAAGCCUCUGUGGCGCAAGUUCCAAACGAUAGUUUCUAAUGGUGUAUUCUACAGAAGCGCCGUGUCAAAUGGCGUAUUUCAUAAAACGCAACGUCUCAGGGGUGUGCUCCACAGCGGUGUUUGUCAGCUUUCUGCCUGAAAAAAGGUAUUCAUUUGCAGACACUCUAUGAAGGGCGUAGAAAUUUUUCUGUGCUCUUCGUGUGAGAGCCACGCCGCCCUUGCGUGUCGGUACAUCUCGGGCAAUUAUCCCGGAUAGGCUUGACUACUUAAUGGAAGAAAUGAGUGGCUCGAUGAAAGAGGUUAGCUUAUGGGUCACGCCGACGGGCCUGCAGACAGUUGGCUACGAAGGACUGUGCUCGCUGUCGCUGCGCGCGCCCUCGUAGCCCCAUGUGCGAAGAGCACCGCAGAUAACACGGGAGUACCUGCGAAAUUGAAGCAAUACGCUGCAAAUUCGAGGGAAAACAAGAUGUGCGCGUGCUGGUGCAUCACGCUGUGCACUUAAUGCGCUGCGCAGUCAUAAUGUUGAUAAUCUGCUAACAACGAGCGAGCUUGAAGUUGUGCAGGGGUUCCACUCAGCAGUUGGCAGUAAUGUUUUUGCUUUUAAUGUAUGGUAAAGGUAGCGCCUCAACGUACACGAAGAAAAUGUCACUCUACGAUUCUCCUGUUUUGCACGUUACAAGCAGGGUGCGAAAUAUUCGCUACAGUAUUUUGAUCUACGUGGUUGGCCCGGAUUUCAUUGUACACUCCGUCCCACGCUGCUUGUAGUGAAUGAAUGGAAGUUGUGUGCGCACGUACACGUCCUUGCAAUUCUUUUCGGUGAAUAAGUUUCGCACAUAGUGGCGGUGACCCGCUGAGAUUUAAUACAAUAUAUCAAUUUAAGUGGAAAAGUAAAAUAUCGUGGUAUGUGCUCCGUACGUCACGUAAUUCCUUGUCGUUCCCGCUGAGAUUAGCUUCUAGCUGCAGCAUGUUCGGAAACAUAGCGAUACGUGCUAUUACGUUCAGAGUGUUUGAAAUUGCCGAGAACCUAAUACUAAAAGGGUGUGUGACACCAACAACAUACACCAACAACUUUAUUUUUAUGCUGAGCAAUGGAGAGUUUCACUAGGCAUUCAAAGAUGUUGUUAUGCGUUUGUAUUCGUAAUGUGACGUUGCAAACAUCAUGCAAAAAUCAUCAAACACCGCAAGUAAGCGAAAAUGCGGGACACUUCGAGGCUCGUGAUGCCGCGAUAGGCCAUCCACCAGCCCAGUUGCUUUCGCACUGUCGCACACAAUCUGGAUCGGUCAGCAAUCCAGGUCCGCGCAAUCCCGCUGGGCGCGCCGUGCCGUCCGCACUUCACACUCGUGAUCUUGGUGUUUCGUUUGCAGCCGUCUGGUGGAAGCUUUGCAUAAUACCCCCUGAAGUUUCAAAUUAAAAGAAAACACUGGCCUAAGAUGUCUACUUGAAAUAAAUUUACAUUAAUACAAAUGCGAUUUUGUCUGUUUCGGCGUUUGUCUGUUUUCUUACCCAGGCAGAAAUCAGGACUGGUUCCCGAAUGGUCCCCAAGUGGUUCCAUUUGCAGUUGAAUGGUCCCAGAUGGGUCCCCAAGUGGUAUUAAUGAUCCCACUCUGGCUUUAAGCGGGUUCCACUCUGGUCCCAGAUGGGUCCCCAAGUGGCGUUAGUGGUCCCAUUCUGGCUUUAACCGGGUUCCAUUCUGGACCCAGAUGGGUCCCAAAGUGGUGCAGUGUUCCCACUCUGGCUUUAAGCGGGUUCCAUUCUGGGCCCAGAUGGGUGCCAAAGUGAUGUGUGGUUCCCACUCUGGCUUUAGGUGGGUUCCAAAGUGGUGUGUGGUUCCCACUCUGGCUUUGAGCGGGUUCGAUUUUGGGCUCAGAUGGUUCCAGCACUUCCAGCUGGAGCCUCACAGGUACCAUUUUGUUCCCAGAAUGGUCACUUGAGACUCCAAGUUGGGCAGCUUCCCAGCUUUCCCCUUUGAGAUUUCAUCUUGUCCACACUUGUCAUAUAUCCUUCUGGUUUUGUUUGAUCUAUUACUCUGAUCUAUUUUAGCACAUGCAUGAUCUCUUUUUAUUGCUGUUUAUCCAUGUGCGUGCGUCUGCGAUAAAAUAUAUGCUGUAUCCCUGUAACUCCAAUUCGAGCACAUAUUCCCAUCUGAAGGUGCAUAUCAUAACAUAUUAAGUACCAGAGAAAGGUACAAAAUACAUCUCAACAACAACAAAAAUUAAGCUAAAUAACUAGAAGAAAGACAACGAAACAAAAAAGAAAGGGUAACUGCAGAGGCUGAUGCAAUGUGAAGACGCUACGGCGGCUACAAAUUCAAACUUCAAACGGCGAGAGCCGAGAGGGAGAGGAAGGGCGAAAGAGGCGAGAGUGGCAGGUGGCAUGGCGGCAUGCAUGGCAGCAUGGAGGUAAGAAACUAAGGAGAUGCCCUAAGCGCCUCUCCCAAUGCAAGCGAGCGUGCUGUGACCCGCGCAUGGCAUUGUGGUUAGUUGCCCACACACGCGACCCAUAAACGUCACGGCAAGACGUCAUAAAACAUGGCGUCCUCCAUGUCCGCGGCGUAUCUUACCUGAAUACAGAGACGAGCUGCGGCCGAAUAACUUGUUUCCGCUUUCAUAACAUCUUAGAAGUUAUCACACCCGUUGAAACACAAGAUAGAUCAUCUCAGUGUGGAAGCAAUGGAUCACAAAUCGCUAGAAGGCGUACGUACGUCAUCGUGACAUUGCCUGGCUUCUCUUCUGUUUUGCUCAACUUUUGUUGUGAUUUAUCACGCGGCAAAUGUUGAAACAACCCAUAACCUUCAAAGUAUUGUGCGAAUGGACUCCUUGAAGGUAAGACGUUUGCUGAAGAUGAGGUUUGCUAAACUUCCAAUCCUCCGAGCAGACCGCCAUAACGCCGAAACAUGUGGGGAUCACGUGACCGGGCAACUAGAUGGGCGUGGUAUUGCCAGGAGAGACCGCUAGAGGGGUCCCACGGCCCUCCGAUCUUAUAGCCCUCUCCUUAGUUUCUUACCUCCAUGCAUGGCAGUUAGAGCUUGAACGCGUCGCAGCAAGUUGGUUUGGUCUUCAGUUGCCGUCGCAAGGAUGGUGUAUCUCCUGUGCAGUAUUUACGUGUGUUUUAGUGGGCUUUGUAAGACAAUGCGAUGACAAUAGUUCCUGUGCAACACAUUGUCCAUUUCCCGGAAGAGUUUUGACGCCAAGAAGACCUGAACGGCGAGGGGCAAAACGCACUGUGAAGCGCCAAUCGCACUGCACGUCGCGAAUGUUUGCAGGUAUGAGUGAUGACCGUGAUGUUUUGAUUACUAUUAAAUAGAUGUUUCAUUUUAGAAACUUAGGAGGAACUUGAAGAGAAACAGGAUAAGAAGAUUCCGAACGUACGGUGAAGAGGAAAGGGGUGUCGUGACCUGCAUGGAAAACAGGAGUGUCAUGUGUCAUCUUCUCUAGGAAAAUACAAGAUGUGAGGUGGCCAACGAACGAAAGCUCCCUGUGGUCCGUGAGUGCAUCGCACAAUCAGGCAUAUGCUUUGUCAAGACACAGUGAGUGAUCAGACUUAUACUACGUAGUAUGAACAAGUAGAGAUGUAUUGAUUAUUUCUUUCUGCUCAGUGUAUGCUUUUAGCAGAAUAAACGGUAUUUACUUGAGCAAUAUGUGCAUUUCUACGCAUUAUUUUCAGUCAUGCAUUCAGUGGCCCCAGCUGCUAUGUGGCCGGACCCCGGACCACUUAGCAGAGGGGGCCACUGGAUCAAUUCCACUGGUUCCAGUUCAAGUGGGACCAUCGUGAAGCUGGUUCCACUUUCAACUGGUCCCAGUCACUAAGUGGGACACACUCAAAGUGGGACCUGUCCAAUAAACCACUUUGAAGUGGUCCCACUCCAGAGUGGUCCCAUUCUGAAGUGGUUUAACGAACUGGUCCCCCAUGGGACCACUUGGCAAGUGGGACCAGAGUGGGACCAGUUCGUUAAACCAUUUUGAAAUGGUCCCAUUCCAGAUUUCUGCCUGGGUAGUGCGGGCGGCUGUCAUCGCAACAAUCUUGCCAACCCUGAAGCGGCACUGCGAGUAGCGAGAAGGCGAGGGUGAAAGGAAGCCACUGCACUUGCGCCAACCCUCCUUGAAUCUUGGAGUGUGUAAUCAUGUUCCCGAGUGGGGGACAAGUGUAUGCGUUGUUGAUCUCUGUCGCCGAGACUCACUUUGUCCACACCUGGGGAAGAUCACAAUCGCUGCCUAAUCAUGAUUGCGCGCGAUGUGGAUCCUGCAUCAGUACGUUUUGGGUAUUAGUCGACGAGGUGCAAGGUUCUGCCUUUCACAGGAAGACACGUGAGCAUCUCGCAGCCCCAUAAAAAUCGUUCCGCGCGCUGGGAGCAUCAGCGCAUAGACGUAAACAACGUCACCGAGUGCCAUUUCCGCGACCAAGCGCUCCCAUGGGGUGGAUAGGCCGGUAAGCACACCGGUCCUUCUAGUUCACCAUAGUUGCCCGCCAUCCGCGUAGCGUCGUCGUCUUCGCACCGACUUCUAAAUCUCUUGCGUGCGCUUCUGUAAACCUGAUUUUCUCACUGACCUGUGCCUCGACGACAUUUCUAGUACGAUCCCACAGUUUGGUGACACAACCUUCGAAUGGCCGCACUGUCACCGUCGUAGCCUUUGCUAAAUUGUGUCCACUAGCCUAAAUCAUUUUCUCACUGCCUUCGAAAGAGGACAUUUCGGGACACAUUUCUCGGGAGAACAAGCUUUGGAACUUCCUGUCGACGACUUCAUCGGUGUUCCUUUGUGUCCUUCUACGAUAUACGCUUAUGUGACUUUUUGUGUUCCUAUGUUUGCCGUACUACACCACAAACUUUACGUUAGGUUGAAAAUACGAGACACGCUGCUCGUUCAAAACUGUGAUAGGAUAGUCUCUCAAAAUUUGUUCUUGGGAAGCCAACCGAAGCCGUGUUGUCCGAGCUUCGAAAGCAGAUAUUAAGUUAGAAAAAUUGGAGGAAAAUGCACGUGCUCUAUCUCUGCACAUACAGGAACCGCUUAAGAAAUUUACUUAUAAAUAAGUUCUGCAAUAGUGCAAAGAAAACACGUGCAAGUUGCACUUGAGCUGUCUGGCUUUGACCGAAUAGCGUCCCUAUACCCUGCUGCGUCCCUAUAUAUAAGGCAUAGAUUGAGAUGUUACCCGUCAGAAAGAACUCGUUACAAGCUAAGUUACCGUGUGCAAAAUGAAACUAAGUUAAUGACGAAGUUGUUCAGCAUGAAAUGUAAUUCGCAGUUACUGAGUUACUUUAAAAAAUAAUGAAUUACUUGCAAGUUACACCGGACACAAAAUAACAUUGCGCAGGUGCAGCGCGCGUGGCAAGUUGAGUUAGACCUUGAGUUGCCUGCGGAGGAGUGCAACACGCUUAGAUCGUUUUCGUUUAUGUCCAACAAUAGACAUCUCCCUAUUUGUAAACAAAUGACGUCGAAGUCUUCGACAGCGCCAAAGUUCAGUAGAAUUCAACCACACUCGAAGCUAAAGGUGAACAAGGUCGCGCCCGACGGCCACGGUCUUCAGGGGACUACGACAUGGUCCCUUGAAGGGACGCGACCCUUGGGCGCACUUAUCUUUCAAUGUGACACAGCGAACAAGUGUCCGUUCGUGGAACCCAGCCCUCCUUCAGAUUUGUUUCGGUUUCAUUCUGUCUACAAACGUCAUGAUGGCGUUUCUCUUAUAGAGGUCUAUCUGAACGCUUUGCAUCUUACCCCAGGUAGGCGCACAAUGGUUCAGCUUGAUUUCAAUGGCAGCGCUUCCUACUUCCUGAAUAAAAAAAUGUCAUUGAUUGAAUAACACGUUUUAUGGCAAAAAACACCAUAAAGGAACCAGAGAAAAAGCAAGAAAAUAUGUGGACGUGAGUGAAAAGCGAAUUAAAGGAACUUAGCUUAAGUUAACUCGCUUUUCACUCACGUCCACAUAUUUUCUUGCCUUUUCUCUGGUUCUUUUAUGGCGCUUUUUUUUUGGCAAAGUUGUUGGUUUUGGCAAAAAGUUUGGUUGACUUUGGCAAAGUUACCUGAAAAAGGAACGAGUUACUUGUAACAGUUUACCUCGAACUCUGCUAUAAGGCGAAGAUUGUUCUGAUUGCUUCAGAUAAUGGGCAUAUCUCCCUUCUAUUCAGACCAUUUGUCCUUCCAGAAUUACAGGCACUAAAAUGGGAAGUGGGUGUCUGUGAAUAAUUGAUAAGUAGCGAGCUCGUAGCUGUAGUAUGGCAAGACGAGGGAUUUUCCGGGGUUUCGUUAACAUGAACGGGUGUCGGUUUGCGAAGAGUCCGGAUGUAAAAUGUAGAUGCGGAAUUGUUCCGACUCUGAAGGAUUAGAUACUGUACUGUACUUUACAGCUACUAGUUCGAAGACCUUUUUGAGGGAAUGAGUGAGUUUUUACAAAUUGCGAGGAAGCAUUACAAUUUGCUGACAGCAUAUUUCUU